rnacentral:rRNA from 1 species
UACAGAGGUCUCAAGCGUUGUUCGGAAUUAUUGGGCGUAAAGGGCGCGUAGGCGGUGCCACAAGUCACCUGUGAAAUCCCCGGGCUUAACUCGGGGCCUGCAGGCGAAACUGUGGUGCUGGAGUAUGGGAGAGGUGCGUGGAAUUCCCGGUGUAGCGGUGAAAUGCGUAGAUAUCGGGAAGAACAUCAGUGGCGAAGGCGGUCUGCUGGGCCGUUGCUGACGCUGAGGCGCGACAGCGGUGGGGGAGCAAACAGGAU